UGGCGGACGGGUGAGUAAUGUCUGGGAAACGUGCCCGAUGAGGGGGAGUAACUACUGGAAACGGUAGCUAAUACCGCAUAACGUCGCAAGACCAAAGAGGGGGACCUUCGGGCCUCUUGCCAUCGGAUGUGCCCAGAUGGGAUUAGCUAGUAGGUGGGGUAAAGGCUCACCUAGGCGACGAUCCCUAGCUGGUCUGAGAGGAUGACCAGCCACACUGGAACUGAGACACGGUCCAG
rnacentral:rRNA from 1 species